rnacentral:lncRNA from 1 species
CUGAUGGUUUGAUGAGAGCUACUGAUGUCAUGAUUGCCGGCAAGGUUGCUGUUGUCUGUGGUUAUGGUGAUGUUGGCAAGGGCUGUGCUGCUGCCAUGAAGCAAGCUGGAGCUCGUGUGAUUGUGACCGAGAUUGAUCCCAUUUGCGCGCUUCAGGCUCUCAUGGAGGGUCUACAGGUCCUGACUCUUGAAGAUGUUAUCUCCGAGGCUGAUAUCUUUGUCACCACCACUGGUAACAAGGACAUUAUCAUGGUUGAUCACAUGAGGAAGAUGAAGAACAAUGCCAUUGUCUGCAACAUCGGUCACUUCGAUAAUGAAAUCGACAUGCUUGGACUUGAGACCUUCCCUGGCGUGAAGCGCAUCACCAUCAAGCCCCAAACUGACAGGUGGGUCUUCCCUGACACCAACUCCGGCAUCAUUGUCCUGGCUGAGGGACGUCUCAUGAACCUGGGAUGUGCCACCGGUCACCCCAGCUUUGUGAUGUCCUGCUCAUUCACCAACCAGGUGAUCGCCCAGCUUGAGCUGUGGAACGAGAGGAAAACCGGCAAGUACGAGAGGAAGGUCUAUGUCUUGCCCAAGCACCUUGAUGAGAAGGUUGCUUCCCUUCACCUUGGCAAGCUAGGAGCUAGGCUUACCAAGCUCUCCAAGGACCAGGCUGACUACAUCAACGUGCCAAUCGAGGGUCCAUACAAGCCUGCUCAGUACAGGUACUGAGAGAUGGAACUUGAGGCAAAACGUGAUUGGAAACGGCGCUAUUGUUUCUUUUGUAUUUUCAUGAUGAUUUGUCCUAUAUUAUUAGGCUUCAAUUUUUUUCCUAGGAUUUGUGUUUUGGUGGUGGGGAAGACAUGGGAGGAAAAUAUAUGAAACGGUCUAUCUUGAAGACCACAUGGGAUUAUCUAAUAAGGUUUUGGAUUGGGGUUGUGUGGGAUAAUAUUGUAGCUGUUGCCAUUUUUCAUUUGAGUUUUCUUGCUGCAGCUUAUCUUCUUUUUAAUCAUGAAAAAGAUUAAAAAAUAACCUUUUUGUUUCACUUGUUGUCUCUCUUUUUGGUUGCCAAUCUUUCUUGGCUCACAUCAUUUUCGUUGCUUGCUUUUGUGCUUUGCCGUUUUAAAAAUUAUUAUAAUUUUCCAACUAUAAUUUUAGAAGUAUUUUUAAAUUGUUUUAAUGUAUUGAUUUUAAAAAUAAAUUUUAAAAAAUAAAAAAAUAUUAUUUUAAUAUAUUUUUAAACAAAAAUUAUUUUGAAAAAAAUAAUAUUUUUAAAUAUUUUGUUUUUUAAAAUAUUUUUUUUACUAGAAAAUUCAUUGAAAUAAUAUAUAUUUUUAUUUUUUAAAAAUUAUUUUUGAUAUUAAUACAUUAAAACUAUAUAUAUAUAUAUCUCUGAAGGCUUUUAUGUGUUUUUGUUUAGAUUCUAUUUUUCAAAGUAAUUUUUUUUUAAAUAAUAUUAAAAUAAAUUUUUUUUAAAUAAUUUUUUUUAAAAUGAGGUGAAAUGCAAUUUCAAAUAGCCUUGAGUAAUAACAAUAUUAUCUUAAAAACUAAAUGACAUACGUAUUUUAUUGUCAAUUUACAGUAAAAUAUAUCUUGAACUACAGUAAAAUCAUAUUUAUGUCAUUUGAUCCAAAAACAAUUAAGCUGAGGUCUUCAUGUUUUUUUUUUUUAUCUUAGUAAAAGUAUAUUUUUUUGCCUCUAAAGUAAACAAAAUAUAGAGUUGUUCACUAAAGGUUUUCUUGACUUUAUAUAAGUUUUAGGAUGUAGAUUUAUUAUUUACUUAUUUAAAUAAAUAAGUUUAAAUACAUGUCUUAUUUUAUGUUAUGAAAUAUCUUCAUUUUAUUUUUUAAAUUUUUUUUGUAAAAAAAUAUAUUAAAAUAAUCUAUAUAUCUGAUUUUUUUUAUGAAAUAAAUUAUAAGCCGCGGAAAGCGGAACUAAAAUCAAAAGGAUCAACAUCAUGGCACUGAAAAUCAAUUGGCUGUAUUGCUGCUAUUUAUUAUAAGAUAUUUUUUAUAAGAUAUUUUCUGACUUGUGUUAUAUUGAAUGGUAAAAUGAGCUGUGCCUCCGUGCUGCAACGCACUGUGGGUUUCUGUACUUUUCCAGUAUAAACUUUAUCAAGGCGAUGCUGUGAUGGAGGAAGAAUGGAGUAGGGGACAAGGGAGUGGGUGUUUGUGGUUUGUUUUUCUUAAUUAUUUCCAUGUUCCGGUGUUGGGUAGGUUUCGCAUUUUAUUGAUGUUAGUUCGAGAGCUGAUUUAUUUCUUUAAAAAAGAGGUUGGAAGUAGAUUUUUCUGGAAAGAUUUUCACUGCAAAAAAAACAUUUGAUGAACGUUAUUUGUUGCUCGUUGCUAUCCUGACUAGCAACUAAUUUUAUUCUUUUUCAAAAUAAGAUAAAGAAUCCUCUGUUUUUUUUUUUUUUUUAUUAAAACCAAUCGAGGAAGAUACACAUUAGCAAGUUGGCUACGGAAACCAUAGUUACCAAAUCUGAUUUGGGGUGGAUGCAGUCAAGAAGUCGGGUUUUAGAUGACAUGGGUUACCCCAUAAAGAUUAAAAAUAUUAUGUUUGAAAUUUUAAUAUUUUAAACGAAAAAAAAUAAUACAGUUGAAUGUAGGCUAUAAAAAAAAUAAAAUGUAGUAUAUUUAUCUCAUAUUAAAAAGUUAAUAAAGAAUCCAUGUGAAUAUAAGUUAUAUUUUUUUUUAAAAAAAAAUCAAUAUUGAUGUAAGAUAUAUAAAAAAAUGUGAAAUGUAAUGCAGUUAUUUCACAUCAAAAAAUUAAAAAACAAUCCUUGUAGAUAUAACUAUAUAUAAUUAUCUCACAUCGAUAAAUUAAAAAACAAUAUAUGUGGAUGUAGACUAUAAAAAAUAUGUUUAGUUAUUCCAUAUUGAAAAGUUAAGAAAUAAUCUAUGUGAUGUAAGUUAUAUAUAUAUAGUUAUUACACAUCGAAAAGUUAAGAAACAAUCCAUGUAAAUAUACAUUAUAAAAAAAUUAUGUAUGAUUAAAUAUUCAUAAAUUAUUUUUAUAUUUUUUGAAUUUAUUAAAAGAAUAAAAUAAAAUGUAAAAAAUAAAAUGUAAAAAAAAAGAAGUCAAGCCCCACCCUAGUUGCACCAGGUCACAAAGUUUUAGGUUUACCCAACAACUCGUACUAGUUUAACCAAACUAAUUAUAAAUCUGGAUUUUUAUGAUUUAAAAACUAGUCAAGACUUUUAGUCAUCUAGAACCUGAUAGUUCAGCCUGAGUUUCAUAAUCAUGGUUGAAACAUUAAUUGAUGUUUCAAGGCUGGCUUAAAAAUUAAAGGUCAGUUAUGCAUACUUGACAAGUAUUUUUUUUAUUAAUAUAAUAUCCGAAUUAGUUUAUAUAUACCCAUUAGUGUUCUUUUCAGGGUCCAUUGGCUGCCUUUCUGCUUAGUAUGAAAAUCGGAUCUGUUUUCCCUUUUAUCUGAAGGCAACGAAGACAAAACAUGUCGUGGAGACUCGAAAUGGUUCAAUGCAAUUCUUCAAUUGUCUUUUAAUAAUGUCCAUGGCCUGUUCCUGGGCACGGAAAUCGGAAAGCA